UACGUAGGUGGCAAGCGUUGUCCGGAAUCAUUGGGCGUAAAGCGCACGUAGGCGGCGCAGUAAGUCGGACGUGAAAUCCCUCGGCUCAACCGAGGACGUGCAUCCGAAACUACUGUGCUCGAGUAUGGAAGAGGGUCGCGGAAUUCUCGGUGUAGAGGUGAAAUUCGUAGAUAUCGGGAGGAACACCAGUGGCGAAGGCGGCGACCUGGGCCAAUACUGACGCUGAGGUGCGAAAGCGUGGGGAGCAAACAGG
rnacentral:rRNA from 1 species